CAAUUCCGGAUCUCAGAUCAAGUAAGAUUACCCGCCGAAUUUAAGCAUAUAACUAAGCGGAGGAAAAGAAACUAACUAGGAUUCCCUCAGNAACGG
rnacentral:rRNA from 1 species